CAAAAUUUCGUUCUAAAGAUUUU
rnacentral:miRNA from 1 species